rnacentral:misc_RNA from 1 species
GCAAACUUGGUCAUUUAGAGGAAGUAAAAGUCGUAACAAGGUCUCCGUUGGUGAACCAGCGGAGGGAUCAUUACCGAGUUCUAAAAGACUCCCAAACCAUUGUGAACGUACCGUUUUCGUUGCCUCGGCAGGCCGCGCCUACCCUGGAGCUACCCUGGAGCUACCCUGUAGCUACCCGGGAGGCGCGCCACAGGGCCUGCCGGUGGCCUACCAAACUCUUGUCAUCUUGAGAAAUUCUGAGUCCAUAAGUAAAUAAGUUAAAACUUUCAACAACGGAUCUCUUGGUUCUGGCAUCGAUGAAGAACGCAGC